GAUGAACGCUGGCGGCGUGCCUAAUACAUGCAAGUCGAGCGAACGGACGAGAAGCUUGCUUCUCUGAUGUUAGCGGCGGACGGGUGAGUAACACGUGGAUAACCUACCUAUAAGACUGGGAUAACUUCGGGAAACCGGAGCUAAUACCGGAUAAUAUUUUGAACCGCAUGGUUCAAAAGUGAAAGACGGUCUUGCUGUCACUUAUAGAUGGAUCCGCGCUGCAUUAGCUAGUUGGUAAGGUAACGGCUUACCAAGGCAACGAUGCAUAGCCGACCUGAGAGGGUGAUCGGCCACACUGGAACUGAGACACGGUCCAGACUCCUACGGGAGGCAGCAGUAGGGAAUCUUCCGCAAUGGGCGAAAGCCUGACGGAGCAACGCCGCGUGAGUGAUGAAGGUCUUCGGAUCGUAAAACUCUGUUAUUAGGGAAGAACAUAUGUGUAAGUAACUGUGCACAUCUUGACGGUACCUAAUCAGAAAGCCACGGCUAACUACGUGCCAGCAGCCGCGGUAAUACGUAGGUGGCAAGCGUUAUCCGGAAUUAUUGGGCGUAAAGCGCGCGUAGGCGGUUUUUUAAGUCUGAUGUGAAAGCCCACGGCUCAACCGUGGAGGGUCAUUGGAAACUGGAAAACUUGAGUGCAGAAGAGGAAAGUGGAAUUCCAUGUGUAGCGGUGAAAUGCGCAGAGAUAUGGAGGAACACCAGUGGCGAAGGCGACUUUCUGGUCUGUAACUGACGCUGAUGUGCGAAAGCGUGGGGAUCAAACAGGAUUAGAUACCCUGGUAGUCCACGCCGUAAACGAUGAGUGCUAAGUGUUAGGGGGUUUCCGCCCCUUAGUGCUGCAGCUAACGCAUUAAGCACUCCGCCUGGGGAGUACGACCGCAAGGUUGAAACUCAAAGGAAUUGACGGGGACCCGCACAAGCGGCGGAGCAUGUGGUUUAAUUCGAAGCAACGCGAAGAACCUUACCAAAUCUUGACAUCCUUUGACAACUCUAGAGAUAGAGCCUUCCCCUUCGGGGGACAAAGUGACAGGUGGUGCAUGGUUGCCGUCAGCUCGUGUCGUGAGAUGUUGGGUUAAGUCCCGCAACGAGCGCAACCCUUAAGCUUAGUUGCCAUCAUUAAGUUGGGCACUCUAAGUUGACUGCCGGUGACAAACCGGAGGAAGGUGGGGAUGACGUCAAAUCAUCAUGCCCCUUAUGAUUUGGGCUACACACGUGCUACAAUGGACAAUACAAAGGGCAGCGAAACCGCGAGGUCAAGCAAAUCCCAUAAAGUUGUUCUCAGUUCGGAUUGUAGUCUGCAACUCGACUACAUGAAGCUGGAAUCGCUAGUAAUCGUAGAUCAGCAUGCUACGGUGAAUACGUUCCCGGGUCU
rnacentral:rRNA from 1 species